CCAGAGAACUUAGCAGAGAUGCUUUGGUGCCUUCGGGAACUCUGAGACAGGUGCUGCAUGGCUGUCGUCAGCUCGUGUUGUGAAAUGUUGGGGUUAAGUCCCGCAAGAGCGCAACCCUUAUCCUUUGUUGCCAGCGGCUCGGCCGGGAACUCAAAGGAGACUGCCGGUGAUAAACCGGAGGAAGGUGGGGAUGACGUCAAGUCAUCAUGGCCCUUACGGCCAGGGCUACACACGUGCUACAAUGGCGCAUACAAAGAGAAGCGACCUCGCGAGAGCAAGCGGACCUCACAAAGUGCGUCGUAGUCCGGAUUGGAGUCUGCAACUCGACUCCAUGAAGUCGGAAUCGCUAGUAAUCGUAGAUCAGAAUGCUACGGUGAAUACGUUCCCGGGCCUUGUACACACCGCCCGUCACACCAUGGGAGUGGGUUGCAAAAGAAGUAGGUAGCUUAACCUUCGGGAGGGCGCUUACCACUUUGUGAUUCAUGACUGGGGUGAAGUCGUAACAAGGUAAGCGUAGCGAG
rnacentral:rRNA from 1 species